rnacentral:lncRNA from 1 species
AUACAUUCCUGGCUGGCAUCUCAUGCAGGGUUGGCUUGUGAACCCCGGAAUGGCCAGCGCCCUGGCAGAGGGAAGCUGAGGUGUCAGAACAGUGGCCUCGCAGGAGCCUGCAUCUUACAGAGACUCAAGGGCUCCGAGCUUGGGGACGAGACAGUUAAAGUCUCCCUGUGCGCGCGCGUUAUAUCACACAGCGCCGGUGCCAGGUCAGCAGUCUGGCUGGAGCUCGGACGUGGCUGGUCGUGCCAGGAGGUGCCAAGCCACCCUGCCAGCCCUGAAGAAGGUUCCCAAAUCCAGGUUUCCUUCUGCAGCCCGGAGGAUGCUUUGACGACUGUCUCAUGAAAGGAUACUAGGAGCUGCCCUGGUGCUUCCCAGACAAGCCACGGUGGAACACGGGACUCUCCCGGCUGGGAGCCCACUGCUGCUGUAACAAAGGCAGCCCAGGCGAGACCCUGCUCAGGACUAUGGCAGGAGAAUGUCUUACAGAGUGCUUCGUGCACCGACACAGGGAAGCCACAUCGUAGUCAAAUUAGCAUGGUUGGCCAAAAUAGAGGCUGCUCACGUGGAUCUCCCUGAAGAGAGGUGGUGGUGUGAAGGUCAUAAUGUAUAGGAAAGAGAAUGAAUCCAUGUGGACCAGGUCAAACAAGGAUUAGCUGCACAUUCUCAAGGCCAUGGCAACCUGAUCCAGAAUUCACGGAGCUUCGAUUUUUCUGUUACAUCGCACCGGUAGUUUUAAAACUCUCCGUAGCCUCUGAACUAGCUCUCAUCACACUGGAGUCUCAUGCUCUCACCUUGAACAUGUGUUGGCCUUCGGGACUCACUUUUAAGGAAGAGGAUGUAGGACGCAAGCCCAUGAUGCCCCUGACUUCCUCCCAGGCUAGACCACAUGGGGCUUCCUCCGUUUCCUUCUCUACAUUGGGGUAUGCAACCAGGGAGCGCUGA